CCUACGGGUGGCUGCAGUGAGGAAUAUUGGUCAAUGGACGAGAGUCUGAACCAGCCAAGUAGCGUGAAGGAUGACUGCCCUAUGGGUUGUAAACUUCUUUUAUAUGGGAAUAAAAUGUUCCACGUGUGGGAUUUUGUAUGUACCAUAUGAAUAAGGAUCGGCUAACUCCGUGCCAGCAGCCGCGGUAAUACGGAGGAUCCGAGCGUUAUCCGGAUUUAUUGGGUGUAAAGGGAGCGUAGGUGGAUUGUUAAGUCAGUUGUGAAAGUUUGCGGCUCAACCGUAAAAUUGCAGUUGAAACUGGCAGUCUUGAGUACAGUAGAGGUGGGCGGAAUGCGUGGUGUAGCGGUGAAAUGCUUAGAUAUCACGAAGAACUCCGAUUGCGAAGGCAGUUCACUGGACUGCAACUGACACUGAGGCUCGAAAGUGUGGGUAUCAAACAGGAUUAGAGACCCUUGUAGUC
rnacentral:rRNA from 1 species